rnacentral:rRNA from 1 species
UACGUAGGGUGCGAGCGUUGUCCGGAAUUAUUGGGCGUAAAGAGCUUGUAGGCGGUUUGUCGCGUCUGCUGUGAAAAUCCGGGGCUCAACCCCGGACUUGCAGUGGGUACGGGCAGACUAGAGUGUGGUAGGGGAGACUGGAAUUCCUGGUGUAGCGGUGGAAUGCGCAGAUAUCAGGAGGAACACCGAUGGCGAAGGCAGGUCUCUGGGCAGUAACUGACGCUGAGGAGCGAAAGCAUGGGUAGCGAACAGGAUUAGAUA